rnacentral:rRNA from 2 species
AGAGUUUGAUCAUGGCUCAGAUUGAACGCUGGCGGCAGGCCUAACACAUGCAAGUCGAACGGUAACAGGAAGCAGCUUGCUGCUUCGCUGACGAGUGGCGGACGGGUGAGUAAUGUCUGGGAAACUGCCUGAUGGAGGGGGAUAACUACUGGAAACGGUGGCUAAUACCGCAUAACGUCGCAAGACCAAAGAGGGGGACCUUCGGGCCUCUUGCCAUCAGAUGUGCCCAGAUGGGAUUAGCUAGUUGGUGAGGUAACGGCUCACCAAGGCGACGAUCCCUAGCUGGUCUGAGAGGAUGACCAGCCACACUGGAACUGAGACACGGUCCAGACUCCUACGGGAGGCAGCAGUGGGGAAUAUUGCACAAUGGGCGCAAGCCUGAUGCAGCCAUGCCGCGUGUAUGAAGAAGGCCUUCGGGUUGUAAAGUACUUUCAGCGGGGAGGAAGGUGUUGUGGUUAAUAACCGCAGCAAUUGACGUUACCCGCAGAAGAAGCACCGGCUAACUCCGUGCCAGCAGCCGCGGUAAUACGGAGGGUGCAAGCGUUAAUCGGAAUUACUGGGCGUAAAGCGCACGCAGGCGGUCUGUCAAGUCGGAUGUGAAAUCCCCGGGCUCAACCUGGGAACUGCAUUCGAAACUGGCAGGCUUGAGUCUUGUAGAGGGGGGUAGAAUUCCAGGUGUAGCGGUGAAAUGCGUAGAGAUCUGGAGGAAUACCGGUGGCGAAGGCGGCCCCCUGGACAAAGACUGACGCUCAGGUGCGAAAGCGUGGGGAGCAAACAGGAUUAGAUACCCUGGUAGUCCACGCCGUAAACGAUGUCUACUUGGAGGUUGUGCCCUUGAGGCGUGGCUUCCGGAGCUAACGCGUUAAGUAGACCGCCUGGGGAGUACGGCCGCAAGGUUAAAACUCAAAUGAAUUGACGGGGGCCCGCACAAGCGGUGGAGCAUGUGGUUUAAUUCGAUGCAACGCGAAGAACCUUACCUGGUCUUGACAUCCACAGAACUUUCCAGAGAUGGAUUGGUGCCUUCGGGAACUGUGAGACAGGUGCUGCAUGGCUGUCGUCAGCUCGUGUUGUGAAAUGUUGGGUUAAGUCCCGCAACGAGCGCAACCCUUAUCCUUUGUUGCCAGCGGUUAGGCCGGGAACUCAAAGGAAACUGCCAGUGAUAAACUGGAGGAAGGUGGGGAUGACGUCAAGUCAUCAUGGCCCUUACGACCAGGGCUACACACGUGCUACAAUGGCGCAUACAAAGAGAAGCGACCUCGCGAGAGCAAGCGGACCUCAUAAAGUGCGUCGUAGUCCGGAUUGGAGUCUGCAACUCGACUCCAUGAAGUCGGAAUCGCUAGUAAUCGUGGAUCAGAAUGCCACGGUGAAUACGUUCCCGGGCCUUGUACACACCGCCCGUCACACCAUGGGAGUGGGUUGCAAAAGAAGUAGGUAGCUUAACCUUCGGGAGGGCGCUUACCACUUUGUGAUUCAUGACUGGGGUGAAGUCGUAACAAGGUAACCGUAGGGGAACCUGCGGUUGGAUCACCU